rnacentral:rRNA from 1 species
CUACGGGUCGCAGCAGUCAGGAAACCUUUACAAUGCACGCAAGUGUGAUAAGGGGAUUCCAAGUGCUUAUGUUAUGCAUAGGCUUUUGUUAAAUGUAAAAAGUUUGGCGAAUAAGUGGUGGGUAAUACCGGUGCCAGCCGCCGCGGUAACACCGGAGCCACAAGUGGUAAUCAUGUUUAUUUGGUCUAAAGCAUCUCUAGCCUGUUUUGCAAGUCUUUUGUGAAAUUGUUUAGCUUAACUAAACAGCAUGCAACAGAUACUACAAAACUUGAGACCGGGAGGAGAUAGGAGUAUUCUAAGGGGAGCGGUAAGAUGUUAUAAUCCUUAGGGGACUACCUAUGGCGAAGGCACCUAUCUAGAACGGUUCUGACGGUGUAGGAUGAAAGCUAGGGGAGCGAUCUGGAUUAGAUACCCGAGUAGUC